rnacentral:tRNA from 1 species
CGGGGAUUAGUUUAACGGUAGAAUAGGCGCAUGGGGUGCGUCUGGCCUGGGUUCAAUUCCCAGAUCCCCGACCA